rnacentral:rRNA from 1 species
UGGCGGACGGGUGAGUAACGCGUGAGUAACCUGCCUUACACAAGGGAUAGCCGUUGGAAACGACGAAUAAUACCCUAUAACAUAAACUCCUCGCAUGAGGAGCUUAUCAAAGAUUUAUCGGUGUAAGAUGGACUCGCGUCUGAUUAGCUAGUUGGUGAGGUAACGGCCCACCAAGGCGACGAUCAGUAGCCGGCUUAAGAGAGUGUACGGCCACAUUGGGACUGAGACACGGCCCAGACUCCUACGGGAGGCAGCAGGG